ACGACGCUGGCGGCGUGCUUAACACAUGCAAGUCGAGCGAGAAAGCGGCUUCGGCCGUGAGUACAGCGGCGAACGGGUGAGUAACACGUGGGCAACCUGCCCCGGAGACUGGGAUAACAGCCCGAAAGGGCUGCUAAUACCGGAUGACGUGCGAUCUGCCAAGUGGGUCGCACCAAAUGGUAGCCUCGGCCUCUGCUCCGGGAUGGGCCCGCGGCGGAUUAGCUUGUUGGUGAGGUAACGGCUCACCAAGGCGACGAUCCGUAGCUGGUCUGAGAGGACGAUCAGCCACACUGGGACUGAGACACGGCCCAGACUCCUACGGGAGGCAGCAGUGGGGAAUCUUGCGCAAUGGGCGAAAGCCUGACGCAGCAACGCCGCGUGAGCGAAGACGGCCUUCGGGUUGUAAAGCUCUGUCAGGAGGGACGAAGCCACUCGGGUGAACAGCCCAGAGGGUGACGGUACCUCCAGAGGAAGCCCCGGCUAACUACGUG
rnacentral:rRNA from 1 species